CUCUGACAUCUUACCGGAUUUAUUGUCCAAGUACUGCAAGCGUAUAAGCUUUGGCACUUUAUCACCUAAAUCCAAGAUAACUCUAAACUCUAGCUGGACUAGGUCUUGAUUUAACUUGUGUUGCUUUGUCAAUAGCAAUUGGUUUUCCCACUGCUGAUGCAAUGGAAAUCAAUGAUUUCAAAGUAAGCAAAUCUGGUGAUAAAUCUGGCAACGAAAUCCAAACUACAGCCUUCAUUAUUUCCUGAUUAAAACCAGUGGUCCAUGGAAAAACUCGAUAUUGAUGUUCCUUUCCAUUGUAAGGAAAAUAAUUCACUUGCCUUGAUAAGCAAUCACAAGGUCAUCGUAUUGAUCAAACCUGAUUAGAAGUUGUCUUGGAGCGAGUAAACCAAUUAAACAGUGACCCUUCACGCCUAAAACUUUUGUCGGUAGCGUCCUUAAAACCUCCAAAUCAGGCGAACCUAAUGAUAGUUUAACUACAAUUGCUUGAUACCUGAUUAGAAGAUGAGAACACAACAUAGGAAACCCACACACGAAGAUCCUGGCUGAUUCACCAUUGUCUACCAGGAUGAAGUCGGAGUCCUUCAGGUGCACAAAGAUGACCAGUGGAUUCCCUUGGUGCCUUCCAAAGACAAACUAGUUGUUAACAUUGGUGAUGUAAUUCAGGUAAUCAUUAUAAUUUGGCUUGUGGC
rnacentral:lncRNA from 1 species